rnacentral:rRNA from 1 species
AUUGAACGCUGGCGGCAGGCCUAACACAUGCAAGUCGAGCGGAUGAAGGGAGCUUGCUCCUGGAUUCAGCGGCGGACGGGUGAGUAAUGCCUAGGAAUCUGCCUGGUAGUGGGGGAUAACGUCCGGAAACGGGCGCUAAUACCGCAUACGUCCUGAGGGAGAAAGUGGGGGAUCUUCGGACCUCACGCUAUCAGAUGAGCCUAGGUCGGAUUAGCUAGUUGGUGGGGUAAAGGCCUACCAAGGCGACGAUCCGUAACUGGUCUGAGAGGAUGAUCAGUCACCUGGGAACUGAGACACGGUCCAGACUCCUACGGGAGGCCGCAGUGGGGAAUAGUGGACAAUGGGCGAAAGCCUGAUCCAGCCAUGCCGCGUGUGUGAAGAAGGUCUUCGGAUUGUAAAGCACUUUAAGUUGGGAGGAAGGGCAGUAAGUUAAUACCUUGCUGUUUUGACGUUACCAACAGAAUAAGCACCGGCUAACUUCGUG